AACGAACGCUGGCGGCAGGCCUAACACAUGCAAGUCGAGCGGACCCUUCGGGGUUAGCGGCGGACGGGUGAGUAACGCGUGGGAAUAUGCCCUUCUCUACGGAAUAGUCCUGGGAAACUGGGGGUAAUACCGUAUACGCCCUUUGGGGGAAAGAUUUAUCGGGGAAGGAUUAGCCCGCGUUGGAUUAGGUAGUUGGUGGGGUAAUGGCCUACCAAGCCGACGAUCCAUAGCUGGUUUGAGAGGAUGAUCAGCCACACUGGGACUGAGACACGGCCCAGACUCCUACGGGAGGCAGCAGUGGGGAAUCUUAGACAAUGGGGGCAACCCUGAUCUAGCCAUGCCGCGUGAGUGAUGAAGGCCUUAGGGUUGUAAAGCUCUUUCAGCUGGGAAGAUAAUGACGGUACCAGCAGAAGAAGCCCCGGCUAACUACGUG
rnacentral:rRNA from 1 species